AGCGAACGCUGGCGGCAGGCUUAACACAUGCAAGUCGAGCGGGCAUUCUUGUGGUGUCAGCGGCAGACGGGUGAGUAACGCGUGGGAACGUGCCCUUCGGUUCGGAAUAACUCAGGGAAACUUGAGCUAAUACCGGAUACGUGCGAGAGCAGAAAGGUUUAUCUGCCGAAGGAUCGGCCCGCGUCUGAUUAGCUAGUUGGUGAGGUUAUGGCUCACCAAGGCGACGAUCAGUAGCUGGUCUGAGAGGAUGAUCAGCCACACUGGGACUGAGACACGGCCCAGACUCCUACGGGAGGCAGCAGUGGGGAAUAUUGGACAAUGGGGGCAACCCUGAUCCAGCCAUGCCGCGUGAGUGAUGACGGCCUUAGGGUUGUAAAGCUCUUUUCUUCGGGACGAUAAUGACGGUACCGGAGGAAUAAGCCCCGGCUAACUUCGUG
rnacentral:rRNA from 1 species